UCUAAUAUGGCAGAUUAGUGCAAUGGGCUUAAAACUCAUACAUGAUUAACAUCUAUUAGAA
rnacentral:tRNA from 1 species